rnacentral:lncRNA from 1 species
GUCACUGUAGCUCCAUUGAAUGUUGGACUAGAACCUGUGGCAGCCUUCACUACUCCAUUAGUAAUUAUCUCUUUAAUACGAUUAACAGCCCUGUCAACCAGCUCCCUCGUCUGACCCUGGACAUGAAGAUACAAAGGGCGAUCUCCAGGUCCCACUUUUGCCUUUUCCUCUGCAGUCAUGAAUCGCCCUCGAGUAGAGACAGCCGCUCCACUCAGUCGACUUAUCUCAUCCUGGGUCUGCCCCCUCGUCAGGAGGUUUCUGCACGUCAGGGGCACAUCGUUGAUUUCCACCUCUGCCACCACGAGGUCAUCUUUGCUUUUAUUUGUGGCCGGGCCUUUCCCCAGAGCCUGCAGCUUAUCCGCCGUGUUGGGCGCCGGCUUCAGCUUCCCUUUGGCCAUUAACAUCGCGUUGAUCUUCGCGGCCACAGCCGCGGCCGCAUCCAGGGCCCCUGACGGAGCCGCGGAGCUCUCGGAGACCCCCACGGCGGUGCCGCCAUCUCCGCCGCCGGGGAAAGGCCGCCCGGGCAGCGGGGCCGCGCCAGAGAGAAGGAAGGCGGGGGCCGGGCCGGGCUGAUCCCAUUUGCUGCGCCGCCCGCCCGCGGUCCCAGCGUCGCGCUGCCCGCCGCCUCCCGCUGACAUGGCUCCG